UCCCUUGGAGCAAAAUUUGUCAAACACAGAAUGGAAACAGAGCUUGCUAUCAACGUGCUGAAAAUGCUUGUUGCUGGAUACAAAAUGUGAUAUCAAGAUACUCCAGAGAUACGCCCUUGCUGUUUCUCUAGAGUCCUUCUCUUCAGGCUCCAGUUAGUAGUUGCUGCCUAGGAGAUGAAGUGAAUUUCACAAGAAAGACAUAAGAAGCCAACAACUGAUUUGGAAUGAUCUGAGAGACUGACACAAAAAUGCUAUUACCCCUGUAUGCACACAAGUUGAACCUAACGGCAUUAAAAGAAAAGGACAAGCUGUGAAAUGCCUAGAUUCCAGAGCAACAGACUGUGAUCCAUUCCCAACAACCCCUCCCUACCGUCUGCCACCAGUUCCCUUAAAGCAGGAAUCAGAGCUAGACUGACUCAACUAAGUGGAAAAUAUGUAUUGCCUAGGAAUUUGAAUUCUGACAGAAAUGUUGAGGAGAGGAGUAAAUCAUAUUAAAGAAUUGUUUUGGAGAACUUGGAACUCAACAUUCCAUAAAGCAAGAAGCUUGACAUAGCAUCGAUGAGCCCAAGUCAACUAUAUGAACAAAACAAUGUCUCAGGAGGGGCAGGGUAUCACGUCAGAAGAAUCCUGAGUCCUUAGAUGACCUUGUAGAAAAGAGCCACAAACUUACUCUGGGCUACCUUCAUACCUCUGAACUAUUAUGCAGAGAGAAAUAAAUGUAUUCAAAUCACUGUUUUUUGGGUUUCUUCAUUCAUGUAGCUUAGCCUAUAACCUAAGUAA
rnacentral:lncRNA from 1 species